UACGUAGGGAGCAAGCGUUGUUCGGAUUUACUGGGCGUAAAGGGCGCGUAGGCGGCAAUUCAAGUCAUCUGUGAAAUCUCCGGGCUUAACUCGGAACUGUCAGAUGAUACUGCUUUGCUAGAGUGCAGAAGGGGCAAUCGGAAUUCUUGGUGUAGCGGUGAAAUGCGUAGAUAUCAAGAGGAACACCUGAGGUGAAGACGGGUUGCUGGGCUUGUUCUGACGCUAAGGUACGAAAGCGUGGGGAGCGAACGGG
rnacentral:rRNA from 1 species